ensembl:lncRNA
GCAAACAAAACUAUUUUUCUUUGCUUCCUAUGCAUCAUUGAAUAGGUUUGUUGUACUCACAUACUGACACCUCAACUCCCUGUGAUAGCCAAGUGAGAGAAUCAGGUCACGACUUUGGGAAUGGAAAUGAGAGUAGGUAGAUCAGGGGAACUCAGGCUGACAACACUUUUUUAGGGGACUGGAAGAGAAAGCCAUCGGUAUGCCAUCAGUUUGAGCAUUCUGACCAUGUAUCAGGUAGUCAUCCUUGUGGAAUGGUUCUGGAUUCCAAAUGACACCUUCUUCCUCAAUGUACUCACUCCAUCACUGGCUGAACAGUCCACACUGGAGACCAUUUAAAAACGUGCCGUGUGUAAUAACCAUUAUCUACUUUAGUAGCUAGAAAGGUAAAACAAAAGUUAGCACAUAAAACUAUCUUUAGGGACUAGGACAGAAUACUAUUUCAGGAAUAAUGAACACAAUGACCAAAGCAAUUUUUCAAAAAGUACAAUGAAAACAUCCGGUACUAAGUAGCUGGCUUUUGUUUUUAAGGGUGGGGGGGACAACCCUCAAAAUGUCUUUUAUUCAAAGUAUGGUCUAAGUACCCUCUUUCCUCCCCUCAAUCUGUUUUAGGACUGGCAUUCCAGACACGAAUAUAACAUAACAUGGUUAGGUAUUCAUUGAACAGGAAGAUGCUGUUGCUCUUGGACUGAAUGCCAUCAAAGCCAUUACGACCUGGAUACAGAGCAUCUGCUGCAAACCUGUGUCUCCAGCCUGGCUUCCUAUUUUUCCCCAAGUGCAUACUUGAGGAAUGAAAUACUCAUUUCAUGUUAGCUUUUAGUGAGAUCCACGACUCUAUUUCUGAACAGACCAGAUCUUUAGUAUUUGAAUGAAUCACGACUCCACUACAAAUGUUCCUGCCUCUCCAUUUCCUCAUCUGUAGACGCGAAGCUGCGUAGAUUAAGAGAACGGCUGAGAACGGCUGAAGAGCACUUUCAAUAGCAGCUGACACACGGGAAGCACUUAACAAACACCAGCCAGUGGCAUUAAACAGAGUACAUGUUUACUUAAAUUUUACUUCCUCAAUGGCUAUUAUUUUUGAUUUUUGCAAGGCAAAAAGCAAGGAUCUCCCUGAUGCGCUCUGUGAAAGGCUGGAAUUUGAGCCAGACUUUGCCAAUGUAUUUAAUGGUACUUAACUUUCAGAACAGCUUCAGGCAAACUUUUUCAAAUGUUCUUUAUGUAGAAGUAGCUGAUCCAAAUAUGAGGUAGCACUCUUCCUGCCUGGCAUCAAUUAUUACUCUUAAUAAUAGGAGAUGGAAGGCAGUAUACGAUAUAUAUUUAUACACACACAGUGUUAUGUAUAUGUUAAAUGUGGUGAACUGACUUUUCAGGUUUGCUGUGGGGAUAAUCAAAAUGGUCAGACUCUACUUGGAAGUACAAAACCAACUUAAUCUCUUUUAUCCCAUUCCUCUACAAAAUUAAAGAUUUUGUAUAUAAAGAAGCAAACAUGUAUCAAUCACAAAAUGUAGAAAAUAUUCAAUGAUGCUAAGGACAGGGAAACAGAAGCAUACAACAGCAAAUAAAAAUUUCACAAAUUUAAACCUUACAUUGUAGAAUACCAUCUGUUUUUAGCUUGUAAUUCACAACUCCCCACAAUAAAUCUAACCUGAAGAAAAUGCUUCGUCUCUCACUCUAAAAAGCAAAAUAAAUUUCUACAGAAAGAUAAAAGUGAAAAUACGUUUUCAGCACUAAUACUUGCUUUAUUACAAACUAGCUGUACAACCCUGGCUAUGUCAUUCAAUCUCUCUGGGCCUGAGUUCUCCCACUGGAAACAGGGAUACUAGUGCCUAACACAGAGGCUCCUGUGAAUGUUAAAGAUGAUAUAAAGUACCUAGC